UUAAAUCCGACUAUAAAACAUAACGCACGCACCGCUUAACAAUAACGUUGUUAUUCGGUCCCUCAACAACGAUGCAAAAAUUACUCGUCGUCCUCGUGUCGAUUGUCGUUCUUGCUAUUCUGGAGGUGAUGAUUACAGAGUCCUUCAUUGUGCGGGCUAAGAAACCGAUAGUCUUCAAAAGCAAAGAAGAAGCUUCUCAGUACCUAACGAAGAUCUUAGAACAACACAAUUUCAACAGACGGCCAAGGUUCGGCUAAUGAAAUGGAGGCUCCAGGUCAAGCACCACAUUUAAGUUUUAAACCCACUAGUUUGUUUAUUUUAACUUUUAAUUGUUUCAUUAAAAUAGUUUGAUAGCAUUUUAAAUUGUCUACAUUUAUCCGAACAUUAAUUGUUUCAUUAAAAUAGUUUGAUAGCAUUUUAAAUUGUCUACAUGUAU